UACAGAGGGUGCAAGCGUUGUCCGGAAUCACUGGGCGUAAAGGGCGCGUAGGCGGCCCGGUAAGUAUGGGGUGAAAUCUCACGGCUCAACUGUGAGGCUGCCUUCUAGACUGCCAGGCUCGAGCACAGUAGAGGCUGGUGGAAUUCCCGGUGUAGCGGUGGAAUGCGUAGAGAUCGGGAAGAACAUCUGUGGCGAAGGCGGCCAGCUGGGCUGUUGCUGACGCUGAUGCGCGACAGCGUGGGGAGCAAACAGG
rnacentral:rRNA from 1 species